rnacentral:lncRNA from 1 species
AAUGAGUCCUAGAAAAUAAUUAAGGAUAAUUUUUAGAUUCUGAGACUAUAGAUUAAUAAAAUAAUCAAAAACACCUAAAAUUUAGCUACGUAAUUCCAAUGAAAUUUGAAUAGAGGAAAGGAGAGUUUUGAGAAGUAUAUUUAUUUCCAGUCACUGUAAUUUACAUGUAUGUGUGUGUGUGUAUGUAUGUGUGUAGGAUUAUAGAAUGGAUUUAGUACUGUUUCCUCUUUUUUAUAUAACAUUUUUUCUUGAGAUUUUUCAUGUCAUUUAAAAUUACAAACAUGCAUAUCAGCUCUUUGUAAGUCAAGUAGUCUGAUAUAAAAUUCUGAAUAUACAUGAAUUGCUUAAGCAAAAGGAGAAUACCUCUAGUACUUAACACAGGAUUUGACACAAGAAUAUUUUCUGAUUGAAUUAAUAAUGAAUAUUAUAUUAUCAAAAGUUUCAGCUUGGCUGCUGUGAUCCUGUGAUGCAGUGGAAGUGGAUAGAUCUUAUUCCAGCUGGCAUAUGAAUAAACAAAAGCUUUGUAUAUACUGUGGUUAUUCCAAGGUUUAAGCAAAUACCCUUCAUACAGAGAACAAAAAUUAAUAUAUGAACUAAUAUUUACUUUUAGUUUUGUUCUAUUGGCUCAAAAUACCUGAUUGCUUUAAUAUCUCCUUUACAACACUGUCCUGUUAUUAUUGUUUUUCCAAUAAUAGCAAGCUUGAGUUUUAAAAGAAUAUGAACUUCCAUUUUUACUUUUCAUAGCUCACACCUUAGGAAAAAAUAAUACAUAAAAUGAGGCUUUAUAAAUGACAGGUUGUGGCUUCAGCAAAUAAAUAUAUAUUCUCCACAUUCAGUCCUUAUGAUACUAUUCUGCAUUUAAUUUUUUUACUUUUAGGGCUGAACCUGUGGCCCUAUGCAAGUUCCCAGGCUAGGGGUCAAAUUGGAGCUACAGCUGCUGGCCUACCCCACAGCCACAGCAGCAUGGGAUCUAAGCCAUGUCUGAAACUUAACACCACAGCUCAUGGCAAUACCAGAUCCUUGACCCGCUGAGUGAGGCCAGGGAUUGAACAUGUAUCCUCAUGGAUACUAGUUGGGCCUGUAAACCACUGAGCCACAAUGGGAAUGUCUAAUUUUCUAAUUUUCAAAGCAUUUUGAAAUGCAUAAUCCCAAAUAAAACCAAAUUAUAUGUAUUAGCCCUAAUAGUGAUAAAAAUAUUGUCUUCAUAUGAAUACAUCCACGGCUGAUUUUUUUUUUAAAUAACCUUUCAAGUGAGAGAUACACUAUCUAGAUUAAAACCUGCUGACUUCUCCCAAAAACUGUCACAAAGAUAGGAAUUUUAAAUUGUAUUUUAGUAGUAGACAUGUAUUUACACUGAAAGAGUCAAAUUGCUUCAUUUCUGCAAACUUUCUGCAAAAUGUCUGAUGAGGCUUAAGUUUUCUUAAGACUUUCAAUAAUUCUCACAAUAGUUUACCACCAAUACCAUGCCCACAUCAACUGAAAUAACCAGUCAUAGAUUUUAAAAAGGUAACACAGUAACUUUUAAUCCAGAAAUAUCCUGCUUCAAGAAUAUUAUUGUAACCAUGUCUAGUUCUUAAAUACGAUUUGUAAAUAGUGAAAAACAUAAAAAAUAUCUUGGAAUGCCCAUAUUUGAUUUCCAUUUUCUAUGAAUGGACUUAUUUUCAUGGUAUAUUUGCCUCUUGCUAAACAUAGAUAAAUUACUUUCCUCUAAUGUUCAAACUUGUAUUUAGAGAAAUAAAUUAUUUCAGUAACUUUGAGAACUUAAUCUUCAAUUAAAUCAUAAGUCACAAAUACUUGACUCUGAACAGCUUUAUCCACCAGUGUUUUGGAGUGCUUAUUAUACAAAUAUAUACUUAUCUAUGAAAGAUUUAUAGAAGAAAAGUAGUGGGUUUCUGCUUUUUGAGGAAAAAAAUGAACCAGCUCUACUUCAAGUCCCAAAGGUUUCCUUUGUGAUGUUCUAUAGUAUUUCACCCUAGACCCUACCUGUUUAACUCACUCAGGGUACCCCCAUGAGUAUAUGAUAUGACUUGGUUUUUGUUUACAGGUUAGAAACAAGAUUAACCUGCCUACUUUUCCAUACCAAGACAAAAUGUCAUUUAUUUUCUGACGAACAAUGUGUGCUAGAGACAUGGAUAUUUUUUCUCACUUAUUUCAUUUUUUAAGUAAAUUCCAAAGUUUCUGAAAAUCAAUCUUUUAAUAAAGAGGGGAAUGCCUGUUAUUGAUGUUUAUAUGCUAAAAGGUCAAGACUACAGUUAUUCAGAGGGAAAAAAAAAGGAAAUAAAAAAGAAAAACACCUCCUUAGGGAAAUAAAAGAGGGUUAAUGAAGUAUCCUGUUUGUCAUCAUGUAAUAAUCACAGAAAUGCCUCUUUUAGAUAUUCCUGCUUAAAAAUCAGUUUAAAUUACUCUUCUAGCCUAGAAGAGUCCCUCACAUUUGAAAUUUUGUUGAUUUUAUAUGAUUAAUAUGCACCAAGUAAUAGCAGUAAAGACCAUAAUCAUCAAAACUGAUCUGUAUUUUAUAUUAAUAUUUUAAUAUUGUGUAUUUAGAAAAUGACACAAAUAUGAAAUACACAUUAUACUAGCAUAUUUAGAUUUCAUUAACAAAGAUAGCAGCUAGAGCUAUAAUUUAAAAAUUUGGCCAGUUGGUUUAUCUGUCUUUUAAUGGAUGAAAUAUUGUGUCAACCAAAAAAUUGUAAAGUUAUCACCCUAGCAACAUAACCAAAAUUGUUAGCUCCAGUGAUUAAGGGGAAGAUGUCCACAAAUAUUUCAUUGCCAUCUGUGUUCAUACCUCCUGAAAUCCUAUCUAUAGCUUCUCCCAUUAAAAUAAUUUAUUUUUCCUUCUUUUGAAUCUGAGUUGCGGUGUAACUUGCUUUGGCAAACAGAAAGAAAUUUAAGAGAUUGUGUUCCAGUUCAGAACUUAAGCUGGAAGAUUUUCAUGCUUUCAUUUGUUCCUUGGGACCUUGCCCUAUUGCCGUAUGAAUAAGCCUGGAGGUUAGGCUGUUGGGGGAGGAGUGACCACAUAAAACAGAGACACUCUUGCAGCUCAGUGUUUCCUAGACCAGCCAGUCCCUGGGAAACCCAGCAGCAGGUAACAAUGCAAGGCUGAGCUCACAAGGAACCACCCAACUGAGAACCACAAAACUGCUAAUCUGAACAAUAAUGAAUUAAAAUAUUGUUUCAAGCCACACAACAUUGGGGUAUAUUGUUAUGCAGUAAAAAAAAAACUAAUAUAUUUUUAAAAAAUAAGUAUUCCUAUGCAUAGUUAUCCAUGCUUAAAAAGUAUUUCAAUAGCAUUUGGGGACAAAGACCUCUGCUGCACAAAAUCUGGUUCCAUUUUUUAAAAUAAGCUACUGACUCUCUUUGUGGGGGCUCGCAGGUUGCUGAUACCUCUAUUGAUGCUUGCUUGUCCUAGGAAACAUUCAGCCAAAUGGCAGACUGAUAGAAAUAGAGAUUAGUUUAAAACAUCUGGUAGUGAAAAUAAAAUCUUCUUUUAUACCUUGAAGGAGCUUUAGCUAGGCUUAAAUCAACGACUUUAAAAAGUAAAUAUUGUCUGUACAUAAAUAUCACCAAAAUAACUGGAAAGGAGUAAACACAUAAGUAAAAUUUAUGACUUAACAUUAAAUAGAUAUAAACAAGAUUUUGAUGGAAUCCAACUGCUUUUUCUACUAAGUUCAAAUGCAUUAUUUUAACCACAGAUUAAGUAUUUUUUUCAAUGCACUGCUUAAAAAUACUUCAAGGAGAAGAUAUUGAUUUGGUGAUCUAAUCUCAUGGAAAGAAGGGGUGACUUUGUAUUUUAAUGCCAUAUAAUGAGUAUAAUAAAAAUAUUAACUUAAUGAAAUCCUGCCACCUAAUAAGCAUAUUUAGGUUCCACUUUAUUAUAUUCCCUUCAUAUAAAUUAGGAAUAGAAAGAGAAAAAAUAAUUGAUAUAAAAAAUUCUUCUAUGGAAAAAAUGAAAUGAUUUUUAUAACAAAAUCAAGUAUAAAAACACAAGCAUUUUUAUCUUAGGCAUUACAUAAAACUAUGCCUGAAAAAAAAAUAGUGGUAAUCACAUAAAAUCCAAAAUAAUAUGAAGAAUUCUGGUGCCCUGAUAAAACUUAAAGGGAAUUAUAUUCUGUCCAGUUCUGAUAUUAGGCUAUAGCAUUUUUCAGAAGAUUCACCACUUAUUGUAAAACAUUUAAAGCUAAUGACACAACUAGAGUGAGACAACUUGAUUUAAAACACUAACAUGUCCUCAGACUGUAAAGGCAAUGUGAUUGUAUUAGAGGUUAGGAAACAAUACAGUAUUUGUCAUGCUGUGUUGUAACCUGUCCUUGCAUAGACUUCUAUAUAUUUCUACAGCAAAGAUGGGUUUAUUCAGGAUCGGCAGAAAAUUGGAAUUGGGAGUUUGCAACCACAACCAGCCACAUGAAAGUCCCCUCCCAGCAAGGGAAGGAUAACACUUUUAUGGAGAGGAAAAUGAAGUUGGAAGGGCUAGAGUAAGCAAAGAGUUUCUGGUUUUCUCAUUUGCUAAGUUCUUGCCAGGAGAGAAGUAAAAUAUUUCUUCUUUCUCUUAGGCUAUUCUAUUGUCACAGGGCAAGAGAGCUUCCCUUUCUGGUCCUCUGGCUGGGUUUACAUUGAGGUUUCUGUUUAUUUAUUCAUUCAUUUAUUUUUUGCAUUCCUUCAUUUUCAUCAAGAUUUCUCUGAAAAUAUCACUGAUCAAGAUUCAGGUUUGUAGUUUCAGUGGCUUUUUUCUUUUCCUUUCUUUCUUUCUUUCUUUCUUUCUUUCUUUCUUUCUUUCUUUCUUUCUUUCUUUCUUUCUUUCUUUCUUUCUUUCUUUCUUUCUUUCUUUUUUUCCUCAGUGUCAGAAAGGAACUUUCAUGGGUAUAGUGUCUCAUAUUGGAGGGAAAGUGUACAGCGUAGAAACAUAAUCAAGUCACAUUAGAGUAACAAGGAGGGGUAGGAGGGACAAUAUUCAGGUACUUUUCUUAAAGCCCAUAUGUAGAUUAUUUGAAGGGUUAUGCCAGCAUCCAAGUUUGACUAUAAACUUCCAACAUGCUUAGUCCAGAUAUUUUAAGAAAGCUGUGUCAUGAGAUGUCAUCUUCUUCCCUUCUGGGAAAUCUUUAUUUUCAGGCCACCAGAUCAUAUGCAGGUAUGUCACGUGAAUCCAAGGGUCAAUUCCUUGAAUUUUAGUAGUAUAAGGGUGGGAUAGCAAUACUUGAUAGGGGCCUUUCCGGAGAGAUUGAAGAGAGUUCUUCUGGAGGUUUCUUUUCUAAUAGACAAACAUAUCCAGGAAGCAAGUUGUGAUGCUUAAGUUCUUCGUCUCCCAAGAAUGGACUGUGAAAAGAUUGCUCUAACAAAGCAUCGUUAUUUUUCAUAGAAGUAAUUAGGGCUUUGCAAUAUUGGAACAUCUCCCCUUUUAUCAGUUGUGGCUCAAAAACAAUAAGAGUCAAGGCAUUAGGCAUCUGUGACUGUAUGAAAGGGUGAGUUUAUGAGUUCUAAAAGGGGUGGAUAUAAGAUUUAGAAAACCAAUGGUAAUACUUAUGGCCAAAGUAUUUGGAGGAUGUCUACAAAUUUUGUCACUAGAUUCUCAGUUAUGCCACUAGUGCAUUAACUAAACCAGAGGGCUGAGGGUGGUAAGCCCAGUGAAAGUGCUGUAAAACUGCCUAAAGGGUGAAGACUUAUCAAAGUACCUGGCCAGUAAAAUAGGUUCUUUAAUUACUGUGAAGUUUGAGAAAAGUUUCCCAGGUAGGGACAGUCUUUUACAAAAAAAAGGAAUUUAGCAACAGAAAAGGCAGUAGAUUUUCUGCAUAGGAAGGCUUCAGUCCGAUGAGAAAACAAAUCCAUAAAAAAAGACAUAUUUAUAACCAUGAAAUUAAGAAAGUUGGAUGAAACCUAUUUGUGAAAUCUUGAAUUGUCCAUUAGUCAGUUUAAAAUAUCCAGGAGUAGUACAAACAGGCGUCCCUGUUAAAUUUGUUAAAUUUUGGAGAAGUAGGACAAGUUAAGUGGGCACUUUUUGUGACCUUAUUAAUAUUUUCUCACCAAUAUUCAUUAAGGCUAUUAUUUGGUCAGUAGACUGAUGGUUUACUACAUGUACAAUGGUCACAAGUGGGAAUUUUAGAGUCUCCAGCCAGACUGGACUGUUGUUUGAUCUGGUACUUUCUCUUGUUAUCAAACCAAAAACUGUUGAAUUUUCAAUAAUGUUUUUACCUUCCUAAAGCCAAUCGUUGGGCUUCUAUAAUCAGUUUUUAUAAAUUAUCAUUUGGGGAAAUAUACCUUUGAACUAAGACAGAAAUUUGGCUAUUUUUGUCCCUUUAAGGGCAGAAUUCCUUGUGUAAAUGUCAGCAAGGUAAUUUUCCCUAGCUUCCAGAGAUUCAAGUUUAGCAUGCCCCAGGAUCUCAAUAAUAGCUAUGGUAGCAAGUUAAAAAGUAUUACAUUUAAAUAUUCCUGAACAUAGGAGCUAUUUAAAAUUUUAUUUUCACUGUGACUGAAGAAGUCAUGCUGCUUUCACAGCACUCCCAAAUCAUGCAAUGUUCCAAAGCAUAUCUAUUCUCUGUAUAUAGUUACAGUUUUGUCUUUGUCUAAAGCAAAACUUGUGUAAAAGUCUAUAAUUCAGUCUGUUGGCCUGAAGUAGCCAUAGGUAAAGAUGCUGCCUGAACAACAUCCAAAGGGACUACAAUAGCACACCUAGCACAAUAUUUGCCUUUGAAAUAAGUCUCAUGAGUGAACCAAAAUAAAUCACUGUUAUCCAAACUUCCUGUAGAUCAUCACAAAAAGCCAAGAAGUGGUCCAGCAGCCUUAAGCAGUUGUGAGGAAUCUCAUUAGUGAUAGAGGGAAAAAGAGAAGCAGCGUAAAGUUUAUUACAACAUUAAAAUGUUAUUCGAGGAGCAGUUAACAAAAGAAAUUCACAGGAGGUGAGGCUGCUGACUGAGAAAUAUUGAGUGUGAUGAAAAUUCAGGAGAACUUCUACUAUAUGAAGUACAAAAUUGGCUAAGGGGAAACCCAUCACAAUUAUCUUGGUGGCCUUAGCGAAAAGGGUGAUGGGCUUUAUGGCUCCAAGGUAAGGGGUUUUUCCUGUGCUACAGACAGUUGCUGGCUAUAAUAUACUAUAAAUCAUUGAUGAUCCCUAUAUUUUGGGAUAAGUACCUCAACAGCAAUUUCUUUCUUUCAUUUACAAAAGGGAAAAAGGAAAUCUUAUAAUUGGGAUGCCUAAGAGUAUGUGGGUUUAUCAAACUCUCUUUUAAGGCCUUGAAGGCUAUGCCAUCCAGUUCUCCCAAUACAGUUGGGUAUAGGUUGUUACUGUUGAAUAAAAUAUACAGAGGCUUGGCCAUAAGAGAGAAAUUUGGAAUCUAACAUUGGAAAAACAAACAAACAAAUAAAUGAACAAACGAGCUCAAGAAAACUUUGCAGUUAGUGCUUAGUUUUGGGUUUUGAGAACCUUGGGACAACAUGAAAUCUCUCUGGAUCUAAGUGUAGCUCUUGUUCUGAUAUUAGGUGCCCUAAAUAUCACAAUUAUGUUUAAGCAAACUGCAAUUCUUCUAUGGCAACCCUCUAAGGCUAAAUGCUUUAGCAAACAAUGUUUUUUAUUGCCUGGAGGUCCUGGACAA